rnacentral:rRNA from 1 species
CGCUAGCUACAGGCUUAACACAUGCAAGUCGAGGGGCAGCAUGGUCUUAGCUUGCUAAGGCCGAUGGCGACCGGCGCACGGGUGAGUAACACGUAUCCAACCUGCCGUCUACUCUUGGACAGCCUUCUGAAAGGAAGAUUAAUACAAGAUGGCAUCAUGAGUCCACAUGUUCACAUGAUUAAAGGUAUUCCGGUAGACGAUGGGGAUGCGUUCCAUUAGAUAGUAGGCGGGGUAACGGCCCACCUAGUCUUCGAUGGAUAGGGGUUCUGAGAGGAAGGUCCCCCACAUUGGAACUGAGACACGGUCCAAACUCCUACGGGAGGCAGCAGUGAGGAAUAUUGGUCAAUGGGCGAGAGCCUGAACCAGCCAAGUAGCGUGAAGGAUGACUGCCCUAUGGGUUGUAAACUUCUUUUAUAAAGGAAUAAAGUCGGGUAUGGAUACCCGUUUGCAUGUACUUUAUGAAUAAGGAUCGGCUAACUCCGUGCCAGCAGCCGCGGUAAUACGGAGGAUCCGAGCGUUAUCCGGAUUUAUUGGGUUUAAAGGGAGCGUAGAUGGAUGUUUAAGUCAGUUGUGAAAGUUUGCGGCUCAACCGUAAAAUUGCAGUUGAUACUGGAUAUCUUGAGUGCAGUUGAGGCAGGCGGAAUUCGUGGUGUAGCGGUGAAAUGCUUAGAUAUCACGAAGAACUCCGAUUGCGAAGGCAGCCUGCUAAGCUGCAACUGACAUUGAGGCUCGAAAGUGUGGGUAUCAAACAGGAUUAGAUACCCUGGUAGUCCACACGGUAAACGAUGAAUACUCGCUGUUUGCGAUAUACAGCAAGCGGCCAAGCGAAAGCGUUAAGUAUUCCACCUGGGGAGUACGCCGGCAACGGUGAAACUCAAAGGAAUUGACGGGGGCCCGCACAAGCGGAGGAACAUGUGGUUUAAUUCGAUGAUACGCGAGGAACCUUACCCGGGCUUAAAUUGCAGAUGAAUUACGGUGAAAGCCGUAAGCCGCAAGGCAUCUGUGAAGGUGCUGCAUGGUUGUCGUCAGCUCGUGCCGUGAGGUGUCGGCUUAAGUGCCAUAACGAGCGCAACCCUUGUUGUCAGUUACUAACAGGUUCCGCUGAGGACUCUGACAAGACUGCCAUCGUAAGAUGUGAGGAAGGUGGGGAUGACGUCAAAUCAGCACGGCCCUUACGUCCGGGGCUACACACGUGUUACAAUGGGGGGUACAGAGGGCCGCUACCACGCGAGUGGAUGCCAAUCCCAAAAACCUCUCUCAGUUCGGACUGGAGUCUGCAACCCGACUCCACGAAGCUGGAUUCGCUAGUAAUCGCGCAUCAGCCACGGCGCGGUGAAUACGUUCCCGGGCCUUGUACACACCGCCCGUCAAGCCAUGGGAGCCGGGGGUACCUGAAGUGCGUAACCGCGAGGAGCGCCCUAGGGUAAAACUGGUGACUGGGG